rnacentral:rRNA from 1 species
GCGCCUGGGAUGAUGUGCCUGUCCGAAGUCCAACUCUGAUUGUGGCUUUGGAUGUACCGGAGCGGGUGAAAGUCCCGUGCGGGCGGGCGCUGAUCCUCAGAUGCGUGUGCUUUCGAGUCGGAUUGCUUGAGAAUGCAGUCCAAAGUGGGUGGUAAACUCCAUCCAAGGCUAAAUACUGGCACGAGUCCGAUAGUAAACAAGUACCGUGAGGGAAAGUUGAAAAGUACUCUGAAGAGAGAGUAAAUAGUACGUGAAGCCGAUUGCAGGGAAGCUGGUGGAGUCAAGCUUCGUGCUUGGGUAAUUGUCACUCGGGACUUGUUGUGUCUCGGCGUGCGGUUGUCAAUAUGGAAAGAAUUGGGCGGCCUCGGUCGUUCCAAGUCGUUCCGGGUUGUACGAUUGGGCAGGCUGUCGCGUCGUGUUCCGGGUGCUCUAUUGCUCGCGGCACAGAUCACGGUCGAUGGUGACACGCGGUGUGACAGUCUAACUGUGCUUUGGUGGGCGCAAGCUUGCCGGGCGCAGGAUGGCAGGUGCCACUCGGCUC